AUUGAACGCUGGCGGCAGGCUUAACACAUGCAAGUCGAGCGGAGAGAGGUAGCUUGCUACCGAUCUUAGCGGCGGACGGGUGAGUAAUGCUUAGGAAUCUGCCUAUUAGUGGGGGACAACAUUUCGAAAGGAAUGCUAAUACCGCAUACGUCCUACGGGAGAAAGCAGGGGAUCUUCGGACCUUGCGCUAAUAGAUGAGCCUAAGUCGGAUUAGCUAGUUGGUGGGGUAAAGGCCUACCAAGGCGACGAUCUGUAGCGGGUCUGAGAGGAUGAUCAGCCACACUGGGACUGAGACACGGCCCAGACUCCUACGGGAGGCAGCAGUGGGGAAUAUUGGACAAUGGGCGCAAGCCUGAUCCAGCCAUGCCGCGUGUGUGAAGAAGGCCUUAUGGUUGUAAAGCACUUUAAGCGAGGAGGAGGCUACUCUAGUUAAUACCUAGAGAUAGUGGACGUUACUCGCAGAAUAAGCACCGGCUAACUCUGUGCCAGCAGCCGCAGUAAUAC
rnacentral:rRNA from 1 species